UACGGAGGGUGCAAACGUUGCUCGGAAUCAUUGGGCGUAAAGCGCACGUAGGCGGUUCGUUAUGUCGGAUGUGAAAGCCCUCGGCUCAACCGAGGAAGGGCAUCCGAAACUGGCGUGCUUGAGUAUGGAAGAGGGUCUCGGAAUUCCCGGUGUAGAGGUGAAAUUCGUAGAUAUCGGGAGGAACACCAGUGGCGAAGGCGGAGACCUGGGCCAAUACUGACGCUGAGGUGCGAAAGCGUGGGGAGCAAACAGG
rnacentral:rRNA from 1 species